ACCAAGGGAGGGGGAAUGUAGUGAGUGCAGGGUGGGGCCUCAGGGAAGGGGCGGGCCUAGGGUGUUUGGUUUUGUGCAAUUAGAAAGUUGGUAACCCUAUGUUGACACCACAUGUAACAGAGAAUGAAGGCCCACAGUGCGGCUGUGUAAUAACAACUGGAACCAGAGUAACCUGACCAGCUCUCCAGAGGAAGAUGUGUAUUCAGGUGGUUUUCAGACACUGCAUGAAGGAGCUGGGCCUCUUAUAAAAUGCUCCACAUUCCAAAAAAAGAAGGGAGCCUGGAAACAGAAGGCUAAAACAGUUUCUGCUGAAAUCGCCAGAAUUUCCAUAGAGCAGUGAAACUGUAUGAAAGUUAAGGGGAUUAUUCUCACAGAUCGGAACAUUUCCAGUUUGCCAAGAGCAAAAAAGGCUGAGAUGAGGAGUCAUUUUCCAGGAAAAACAAAAGACCUAUUUGAUACAGACUAACACGGCUGCUACUCUGAAACCUGAAAAGACCAGUGAUUUUCUAAGAUGAAGAAAAGGCUACUUAUACUUCAGCCUGGGUAAGCUUCCCUUGAAUCCUCUAUACAAACGGAUUUACUGUUACCAACUGAAAAAAUAAUCAUUUUCCCAUAAGGACUCACUAAGCUUCGAAAGCUAUUAAAAAUAGUGCCCUUGGACAAACUGAAAUGAAAAACAAAAACUACACAAGACCCAAAAGGGAGUAUGAGAGAAAGCAGACCAAAAAACAACUCCACGAGAUCAGACAUGCUGAUUUCAACAGAGCUGUUUCGCAGUGAAAUUCUGAGCAGGCUUUUUAAUUUACCUUGUACUGCUUGUUCGAUUUUCUACAUGUUAAUGUCUUUAUAUUAUUUACUUAUUCUACAGAGUGAAAAUACAAAAAAGAGUUUUAAAAAACCCCUAAGACAGAUAAAGGUUGAGACACAGGCUAUUUUAACAUUCUUUGAUAAAGCUCAAAAGAAGGACAAACAUAAUGGUUAAGGUUACAGAUCAACAAGCAAAAUUAUCAAAAGCUUCUCUUCUAAACAAAGUCCCUGGAUAAAUCAAGGAUGUGUAUGCCGAGAGAAGUUCUGUCGGUAUGAUUCCAGGCAUAUAUAGAUGUUAAACAUGCAAUUGUGAUCCUGUACACCCAGACGACACCUAUUUGACUCUGGACUGCAGUUCCCAAAUAAUCCUCUUUUUAAAACCAAGGUCGAGGUCGAAGAAUAAGUUGAUAUCACAUUCUGAUGCCUUCAGUGCAGUGGUUUGAAGGAUAAGAAGAAAGUGAUGUAUUGCAUCAUACUGCAAUUUACACACCAUACCUACUUUUCAGUUUCAUUAAUUCCUCAAUCCCCAAUUAGUUUGUAAAAUAGGGGUUUCUACUGUAGGAAAAAUGGUGUAACUUUCUGGCAUCAACAAGCCCCAGACAGAGCAGCAGAUGGGUUCACAGGUGACUCAAGCUCUUCUGAUUUUUCACCCUUUUUUCCCCCCCGGCCAAAAAAAUGAAAUUUCAAAAUUGUGAAAUAUUUUUAACCAGCUUUAGAAACGUUUGAAAAAUGGGAACUACCUUUUAACAAGAAAAUUCCAUUGAAUGUUUUCCUGUUUUUUUUUAGUUAAAAUUUCAUCCAAAUAUUGAAAAUUUGAAAAAUUCUGACCAGCUCUGCGGAUGAGAUCCCUUGAGUUACUAAGCGAUUACCCCACUCCCAUGCUGAAGAUGUCCAUAAAAGAUAGGUUUGUAGAAGAUUAUAAUUUAGAGACGCUCCCUCAUAAGGGACAGUAUUAUGAAUAUAGGAAUUAGGAGAUAUGCCUUGGAGGCAGGGGUUGGGAACACCAUGUGGCUGCGUGCAGCAGUUCACCACAGCAACUCUCCAGUUUGUUUUAUUAAAGUUUUAUUCCUUUCUCAUUUAUUUGGUUUGUUGUUUAAUGAACCCCAAGAUCAUAACAUGGUGUCAGAAGUGCUGCAUGACAAAGAAACUGCAGUCAUUUUGAAGUUAACUCCUGUGUUUGCAACUGAAAGCAGAGACAAAAAGAGGCACCAGACAAGCAUGUGGCGUACCAGGCACUGAGGCUUUUACAUAUAUUUGGUGAGCACAGUUGUAGCUUGACUAGAUUAAGAAAGGGGGGGGGGGGGAGAGCCAAAAAGGGAUGUGUUGCAACCUCCAUCCAGUCUGCAAUUGUUAGGCAAUGUUGCAGAGAACUGGAAAAAAUUCUGACCGAGAUUUGAAUUGUAUUCAGCAGCCAGAGAGGCAGAGGAGAAAAAUGACAAAGUGAAAUCAGCAAUCUUUUUGCAUGUUGUUGGGGAGGAAGCAUUGGAUAUUUAUAACAACUUUAAGUUUGAAGAAGGUGAAAGCAUAAAGUUAAGUAAAAUACUGACUAAAUUUGAGAAAUAUUGCUUGCCAAAAAGGAACAAAACCUUUAAGAGACAAUUUUUUUACAUGCAGGCAAAACACUGAUGACACCGUAGGAUAGGACAUGCCACAGAAUUAAGGAAGCUCCUAGCGCCUCUACCUAGGAGCAACCGGGAUAGGUUGCUGCUUGCGGGGAGCUGCCAGAAGUGAACGCCCCCUGAAUCCAGCACCCCGAUACCCCUCCUACGCCCCAACCCCCUGCCCCCAGCCUCCUCCUGCACCCAAACUCCCUCUCAGAGCCCAGGCCCCAACCCCCCUCCGGCGCCUCAACUCCCAGUCCCGCAUCCUCUCCCACACCCAAACUCCCUCUCUCUAAAUUAACCGGCAUUUUUCACUUACCGGCAUCCCGCAUCCCCCCAACAUGCUGGAUAAAAACGCUUUUACUGUAUAUAGCUCUGGUCCCUGUACUGCAGACAUGGCCAUAGAUUUAAAUGUUUAGUGGAAAUGCCCUCCCUGAUCUGCAUUCACUCCUUGCCAAAAAAUUAGCUGCUUUUCCUAGUAUGUUCAAUAACCUGAUUUUCAUAAAGGAAAUGAAAAAGCUCUCCCUCGGGGUAACAAUUGUGUCAGCAAAGUAUACGCUGCAGAGAUCAGUUGAGAGGACAGAUUUCUCAUAUUCUCUUAGAAAACCAACGUUAAACUGAAGUUAUUUCAGUACAGCAGCAAUUCUGUCCUAGCAUGCUCCUGCUAGCAGCCCCACAUCAGCAAUUAACAUUUUGCUCAUCUGGCUUCUCCAUCUAACAUAUUAUACAAAUUAUUUAUAGAUUUAGUCUCAAUCUGCAGUUACCUAAACUAUGCCAUGGUGAGACACACACCAGUUGCUUCAGGAAAGCAGGCUUCAACUGCCUCACCCUCCUCCAGCAGGCAACACAUUCAUUCAAUAACUUUCCUCAUCAGGAGAAAGGCAUUUGUUUCUCUCCCUCUGAAGCACGUGCUGCUAACAAUGCUUAGCACUUAGGUCGCCCACUGGUGAGCAUCUGUUACAGGUCCCCAGCUGUGCCUGAUUCCCAGAGGAUACAAGUCUGUUACAGUCCCAACAAGAGAGCUCUAGUGCAAGCUGUAGAAACUAAGCUCUGAAGAUCCCUGGUUCAAUCCCCGGUAUGUCAGCCAAAACAGCCCUCAUCACACUUAGUACUUUCAAAGGCCUGUAUGAAUAUUAGUUAAUCCUCACAACACCCCCUAGGAAGUAGGCAAGUUUCAUUCUCAUUUUACAGAUAAGGAAAAUGAGGCAGGGCAAUGAAGAGUCUUAUUCCAAGCCACAAAGUCCAGAUUAGAACUCAGAAGUGCCCGGUUCCCUGCCCCAUGCUUAAUCCACUAUACUACUUCACAGCAUCAAGGCAAAUCAGGCUUGACUGUCAGGGCUUCAGGAGGCACUUAAACAAUACAGCUGUUCCUGAAAGUUAGGCAAGAUGGCACCUGCUUUACAGUCUCUGACAGUGACCCAACACUGGUGCCACAUUUCAACCCAGGGAACAUGCCAUGGGCUCACAAAUUCCCAGGUUGUAUUUUGAAAUACAUUUCACCCUUCAUGCUAAAUACAAACCCACUUGCACAAUGAAGUUUGGAUUCAGUGUUUGGUAUCAGCUCCAGUUCACUUGUACCGAGAACUGCCUCGCCUCUGUACACCGGUGACUAUACAAAGAGGUGUAACACUUACUUAGAUUGUCAGCUGUUAGGGGCAUGAACUCCUUCUUACCCUGUCUUUACCCAAUGCCUAACACAAUGGGGCCCAGAUCUCAACUGGCCUCUAGGUGGUAUCAUAAUACAGAGUACUACUACAACUACUAAUUUUACUGAACCAAUGGAGCAACUCUUUGUGAGUUGUAGCUUUGAGAGCUGCCUCCUCACUGAGGGUGGGUCUGCGCUGCACUCAGAGGUGUCACUGCGGUGCGGGUAGACAUACCUGAGUUAGCUUUGACCCAGCUAGCUCAACCAACAAUGCAGUAAAGCUGCGACAGCACGGGCUGCAAGACCCUGCCCAGGACCCUGGAUAAUUACUCGAGUGUGUAGCUGGUGCUGAUGCAGCUUCAGAAGUAUUAUUAUUCGAGCUAACUAGUCACACCUCUGAUUGCAGCAUAGACAUCCCCUGAGUGGUGCUGAGAAAGGCCUUUUGCCACCUUCAAAACCUUGAGGAGUUAAAAUAUCGCAGGCCUCAUCAUUAGCGUGGGACCCAGCUUAUCGCUAAAGGCAGCCUAGUGUACAUUGCCACCUGGUCACCGCCCACACGUAUGCUGACAUUUUGUCACUAGGUAGUAUGGAUUUCACUGAUAGCUGUUAGCUGGCAGUAAGAGGACCAGCUGGAACAACUGCCCAGAUUGCAUCCUCAAGCUGCAUAUGAAAGGAGCUGGAAUAGCAACAUUCCCUUCUGCAGGAAUGCUGCUGCCGUGUCUAAAGUUAACUGUACUUAGUAACAGCUGAGUUCUGAGCACUACCCUCCUUGUCCUAGGAGAUGCAAGAGAAGCUUGCAGCUGUCAAAGCAGAGCUGCUGAAAAAACCAACAAUCCUCACUGUGGACCAGACUUGCGGAGCAGCCAUUUGCGUGGGGCAUGUAAAAUAUCAUUCAUUUUUUCAUCCUCCUCAUGUUAAUGUGGGAGAACAGAUUUUGUGGUGAGGCUAGUACAUCUUCAUCAUGAUGCUGCCAGGCUGUUAGAGAGGAAAUUAAAGUGAGUUUAAAAAGUCACUCCAAUGUCCAGAAGCUCCAAGUAAAGCCCUGUCUAAAACAAUGAAGUAGCAUGACGUGGGUCUGAUCCCUCUAACAGAACUAAAACUAAAACUCAAGCUCAAGCUCACUCGAGAACAACAAGCAGCAUAGGACCCCGCCCCACAUUAUUAAUACCCGUCCAAAGGGCGACAGUCCUGGCCCUCCACAAAGCCUUGCUUUCUUACAUAUAUUUCAUGUUUUAUUCAACUCAUUAGCCCCAAGUAAGGCUGUUAAAAAGAAAAAAUAGUUAUAAGCACACAAGCAAACUGGUGCAUUAUGGAAGAGAUCAAAUGGCUUACAGGUUUUCUAGCUUUGAUGCUGUUACAGACUGUAUUUGGCAUUUCCCUUUAACUUACAGUUUGCUAAUAAUAAAUUAGUAAAAUUAAAAACAAAUCCCAUGACACUUUUCAAAGCAUAGAGGUGUCAGCUGUGGAGUCCUGGGUAUACUUCAAAUCUGAUACAAGUAAUCGUAUUCUGGCUACCUAAAUCUUCCUUACAGCUUUAAGCAUUAUUAUUUUAUGGGAAGAGUACUGAGAACACAGGGAUUAUACCAAAUGAGACCAGUGGUCCAUCUAGCCCAGUAUUCUGCCUUCAACAGCAGCCAGUACCAGAUAUGUCAGAGGAAGUGCCUCUCACUCCCAGUCUCCUUAGUUUAAUUAACAGCCUCUUUGGGCUUGGCUACACUUGCAGAUGUAGAGCGCUGGGAGUUAAACCAGCCUUCGGAGGCCACAGCAGGGAAAACGCUGCCGUUUGUUUACACUGUCAGUUGCAAGCGCAGUGGCGCGGCCACAUUAGCAGAUCUUGCAACGCUACAGAGAGCAGUGCAUUGUGGUAGCUAUACCAGUGUGCAAGUGGCUGCAGCGUGCUUUUCAAAAGGGGGUGUGUGGAGUGUGUUGUGUGUCUGUGGAGGGAAGAGACAGUGUGUUUUGGGGGGCAGAGUGUGUGUUAGCAUACUGUCUUGUAAGUUCAGACAGCAGCAGACCACCCUCCCGCUGCCUCUCUCUCUCUCACACACACACACACACACACACACACACACACACACGAGUGCCUGCCUCGGCAGCAGCAGCAUUCCACAGUAACGGUUUGCUUUGUCCUGGAGCAGAGAAGCAUGCUGGCUGUCAGAAAUGGAGUUUUGAAAGGGGAUAGCCACAUGCCUGCAGCCGAGUUCAAAACAAUGACAAGAGUGGUCACUUGACUUCAGGGGAUUAUAGGACGUUUCCGGAGGCCAAUCACAGCGCUGUAAUGCAACACGUCGUCCACACUGACACCUGGGCAUUUCAGCCAGGGCGCAGCAAGCUCUAUGCUUCUUGUGGAGGUGGAUUACCAGGAGUGCUCCAGCUGCAGAGUCCAGGCGCUCUAAGUGCCUUGCCAGUGUGGACACCUCAGGAGCUAGGGUGCCCGCGGGGCUGAUUUAAUGUGCUCUAACUUGCAAGUGUAGCCAAGCCCUUUGAGGGACUUUUCUGAAAAUCCAAAUAAAAAUUGCCAGCUGGUUCUCCUCUAACCACUCUUUUUUUAUAUGUGGAAAAAUGUCUAGUAGAUUAGAAAAGGCUGGAUACCACCCGAACAAUGUGACUGAACAGUGAUAUUUAGCAUGUGUCCUAUUAGUUCUACAAUAGUUCUUAAUUUUUUUAAAAUGGGGUAAAAGUUGUCGUUUGUUAACACACAAUGCUUCACACAAAAGCUUUGCACCUUUUUGCUCCGAAUCAAUACACCCUGAAAUAUGCUCAAAGGGAGUACGUUUUGUACAUCAGGUACUGCUAUUCUUUGUUCUUCGUGCACCAUCUUGCCACUUUCAUUUAGUUAAACCACAUCCUGCACGGGCUAUGUUUUGUUUCCAUCACACAAAUAAAGUAGCCUGACCUGAGCUGUAGGCGGACAGAAGUACAGAGAAGGGCAAUCUCUACACAGCUGCGCGUGUGCGAGCAUCCACAUGUACUUACAAUUUCUCUGUUUAAAAAAAAAAUAAUAAUAAUAAAAUAACCCCCCCCCCAGCAUUUCUGUCACUGCUACAAAGGGUUUCCAAGGCACUGCAGUUCUCCCCUACCCUGAGAGUAAGCAACAACUGUGGUAUCUCCGAUAAUGUCAAAAUACACCAUUUUAUUGGUGACUUCUGUUUAGGGAUAUUAGAAUGUCUAAAUUAUAUCGAAAAGGAUCUUGCUGGGACAAAAGAAACCAACCCAACCCAGGAAGGAUGACAAAAUCAUUGACCUUCCUGAAGGUUUUGUUCAGUCACCCAGGCAUAAGCCACAGAAGCCUUGAUGAACAUCUGACCUAUCAUCUGUGAAACUGCCCCUCACCCAUUCUUUUUCAGCAGCUACCCUAUAAACCGAAGUAGUUCAGCCAAUUUUGAAGAGGCCUAUGCAUGAGACGGACGAUCUUGCGUAGCAUCCAGCCUCUCCAUUUUCCUAGCAAGGUCUCUGAGGAGGUGGAUGCUCCAGCAACAUCUGCCCUCUUCCAAUAUCCCAGAUCCUUCAUAAUCAGAUUUCAAACCAGGACGCAAUCCUACCGGACAAUCUUCUUUAGCCCUGCAGAGACAACAAGCCUAUAGGCAUUGCUGUUACACUCAGAGCUCUCUGUGGCCCUGAGCACUGUUGAGCACACAGGGCAGAGAACACAUUUAUCGGAUACUUGGAAGUAAAUGUGGCAACAUUGCCCUGCAGAAUGGAUUGAUUUAAAUCACUGCUUUGAGUCAUGCUUUAAAUCAGCAAGCAGGAAAUCUGGAUUUAACUCACUGAUUUUAAUCUUGUUCUAUGCUGGUACCUUUUAGUUAUUUUGCUAAAGAAAGGUUGAUUUUCACUGACUGGCAACCAUUAAAACAUGUUAAUUUGAAACUAAAUAUAGAUCUUACACUACAUUUGGUCUUUUCUUUAAGCAGGAAGAUACAUUACAGCUAUACAUAUUCAUUUAAGCAAUUAUAUAGCUUAAUUUACGUUAAUUCAGAGUCUUAAUUUUUACAUUUUUUAUUCUGUUAGAAAAUGGUGAAAGAUGCAUUUCUUAAAUGGAAAUUAAAAUUAAAUUAAAAAUGCAUAAAACAGCAUUUUAAUUAGCUCAAUAAAAACUACCUUAACCAUCCUGGAUACAUAAGAAAAGAAGUUUAUCAAAACAUGCCUUGCAUUUAAAACUAACUGAUUUAUUAAAGGAAGUAUAAUCUGUAGUUAGUGAACUGAACUCAUUGAUUCAAAUCACCAUAUCCAUAACCUGCUGCCAACUGAAGGAGGCUGACAGUCGGAAAAGAUUUCUACACAUUUGGCUAGCAAGGCAUACAGAUUAAAAAGAAAACCUCAGUGCAUCCAAAAGCAACAUCCAAACCUUACAGUUUAUUCUCAGAGCUCAGCCACCAUCAAUACUGCAGGGAGACAGGAGCAGGAUUGGUCGACGGUUCACUGAUUUCUAGUCUGAGAAAUUUAGGAGACAAAAUUGUAGAAGGCCUUUCCCAUUUUUAGGCUCCAGACCUUUACUGGAUGGGGACUGUUACUGUACUGCCAGCUUCAGAAGCACCAGUGGCCAUGUAGGCGCUGGUAGGGCAAAACAGCUACCUAGCUGAACCCUACUCUUGUCUGAAAGCUACCUGUGGUUAUGUGGGGAACAGCAGCUGUGACCUUAGAAGCCUGCUCGCUCCUUUGCAUGCCAGUGCCCAGAAUGCUCUUCAGUUCGUGGCUGGCAGCUGAAACCAAAGGAAGCUUUGGGAGGAAUAUGUUAAUUUUUUCUCUAAGAAUUCUGAGACUUAGAUAACUUCUUCACACUGGAAAUAAAGAUUUUUGUUAUACCCAUAAAUAAAAUAGCUCAUGCAUAAGUGUAAUGGAGGAGACCGGAGUUCAAGACUGACCUUGGGAUCCCUGCCCCUCAGUAAUUUGGAGCAUUCUACCAAUGACACUCUCUGGCAAAAUGAAGUGAAAGGAGAAUGGUGAAGUCCCUAUCACCAUUGUGGCACCUCCCUCCUUUUCCUCACUAUCUACUAGAGCAACGUUUCUCAAACGGAGGUCUCUCGAGGGGGUCCACGGCCCUGCUGAUAAACUCCUCCCCCUCAACUCCUUCCCAGUACCUCCUGCAUGCUGCGGAACAGCUGCUCCCUGGCAUGCAGGAGGUGCUGGGAUGGAGGGGGCGGAGCAGGGAUGGGGCACGCUCGGGGUAGGGGGCGGAAAGAGGCGGGACAGAAGAGGGACAAGGGUGGAGUGGGGGUGGGAAGAGGUGGGGUGGGGGCGGGACUGGGGGUUGAGCGGGGGAAUUGGGGGUCCCAAAAAAUUUUAAAUCAAAAUGCGGAUCCUCGGGUUGCUAAAGUUUGAGAAUUGCUGUGCUAGAGUCACAUUACUGCUUGAAAGAGACUGCCAGCUCCCAGGUGCAGAGCUAGGACAAAGCUGACCGCUGCUGGGAAUAUAAAAUAAAUAGACUAAAAGACAGUGGUAAGUAACAGCCAUUUGGACCAACUCAUGAGGUAAGAGACACUUCAUCACAUGCACUUGGAAGAAACAGUGGAUGCACUCAGUGACUCAGAUUUUAAUGCUCUAACACCUAGUGUCCAAAAGCACAAAAGAAAAAUAGGACAUGUAAUAGAAUGGACAAAAUUUUUAAUGGUAGGUGCAUCUAAAUCCAUAUUGUGAGGGAUGCAGCCCUGUAUUCACAUCCUACACACUACUGUAAUAAUCUUUGUACAAAAUAUGCCUUGUAAGGUAUCAUUUGAAAAUUAAUAACUUGCUGGUCAAUAAUACCAUGGUGAAAUGUAUUUCAACAAUAUAUGUGAAGUUAAGAACAUAAGCUGAAAUCAUGACAAUUGUGCUUACCAGACGAGUCUGGGAAGCUGGUAAACCUGUUUCUCAAAGACAAAGGACAAGUUCACACCCCUAGCCAGGUGUUAUCAAAGCUGAUGGACUAUCAUCUAUCAAGUGGCCAUUCUUUGGCAUGGAAGGAGGAGAAGGGAAGAGACAAACAGAUCUGCAUCUUAGCAAACAGAGCUGAAAAGCAAAUAGCAUAACACCUCUUCCCUACCAGACUUCAAGUCUCCUUGCUUUCAGCUGGAAAGAACUCUCAGGAAAGUGCAUUUAAAAGGGUGAUUGAACUAUAAAA